CUAAAACCAAAAGAAAAUCUCAAAACCCCACCCAUUGUCGGUUUGUAAACCGAACUACCUCAAACCCCUCUGAAACUCUGGUUAUUGUCUGUGAAACCCCAAAACCCGAAACCCAGACCCCUCGAUGUCUCACUCUUCCCGACAUCAACUUCCGCUCUCUCUCACCGGCGUUCCCUAAGCUCGCCGGAGCUUUGCUUCCUCGUUGUCGUUUCAUUUCUCUCCUCCCUCAAAACACUCUUUCUCUCUCAUCUGUUGUGUGUCCGAUGUUGUUGGUCGAUGCUACUCCUUCUCCCUCAUCUCUUGUCGUUGUUGUUGUUGUCCUCUGCCGCUGUUGUUCGUCGUCCCUCAUCGGUCGUCGUGCUGUUGUUGUUUAUGGUCGGUGGUGUUGCCGCUGGUCGAUUUCCCCCUCCCCUGUUCUUGCUCGCGCUGCUGCUGUUAUAGGUUUGCUUCACCCGCCUUGCGCCUGAUGCCGCUGUCAACGCCGACGUUGUGCAUGGGUGGUUUGUCGAGUACCAAAAGUAAUUGCUCAGCUAUCAAGCAUUCUUCCAUCUCGGAGCUUCUUGUCGUCGUCGCUCUUCCAUCUCGGAGGUCCUCGUCGUCGUCGUCUCAGAGCUUCGAUUGCACCUCUUGUCUUCAUGAAUUCGUCGUUGUCGUCUCGGAGCUUCGAUUGCACCUCUCGUCUUCACGAACUCGACUUCAUUCUUCCAUCUCUCGUCUUCAUCAGUCCCCACCGCCAGGGCCUUCGACAGAUUCUAGUUCGUUUUUAUAAUUUUCGUCUUCUCCUCUUCGUUUUUAUAAAUUUGCAAAUUUUCUUGUGAUUUCAUAUCUAGUUAGAUUUUUUGUUUUACAAUUUUCGUUUCGUUUUUAUUUAUAUUUUCGUUCGUUUUCUGUAAUUUAUGUUUUUAGUUAGACAUAGUUCAUUUUUCUUUUUCAAUUUUGUUCCUUUUUCAGUAAUUUAUGUUUUUAGUUAGAUUUAAUUCGUUUUUUUCAAUUUUCGUUUAUUUUCAGUUAUUUGUGUUUUUUAGGUUGAUCUAGCUUGAUUUUUACUGUCAUUUUCAAUUUUCGUUCAUUUACUGUCAUUUUUUUUCGUUUUUUUUUUGUAAUAUUCGUUUGUUUUCAUUGUUGAACUAGAAGUGUGUAUGUAUUUUUAGAGGUAUAUAUAUGUAUUGUUAUGUAUAAAAGAUUUUUUUAUACAAAUCUGUUUUUUAUUA